rnacentral:rRNA from 1 species
AAUCUUGCGCAAUGGGCGCAAGCCUGCCGCCGCCAUGCCGCGUGAAUGACGACGGUCUUAGGAUUGUAAAAUUCUUUCACCUGGGAUGAUAAUGACGGUACCCGGCCAAGAAGCCCCGGCUAACUUCGUCCCAGCAGCCGCGGUAAUACGAAGGGGGCUAGCGUUGCUCGGAAUUCCUGGGCGUAAAGGGCGCGUAGGCGGACCUUUAAGUCAGGGGUGAAAUCCCAGAGCUGAACUCUGGAACUGCCUUUGAUACUGGGUGUCUUGAGUGUGAGAGAGGUAUGUGGAACUCCGAGUGUAGAGGUGAAAUUCGUAGAUAUUCGGAAGAACACCAGUGGCGAAGGCGACAUACUGGCUCAUUACUGACGCUGAGGCGCGAAAGCGUGGGGAGCAAAC